CGAGAUCAGAGAAGUCCCGGGGCAGCUACGAAGCCGGGAUCCUCGCGCCCCAACCGCUACCGUUAAGGAUUCUGAUCCGUUACCAAACCGCCACCCAGACAAGAACUGCAAUUUGAACUUCUACCAGAAAUCAGAAGAAGGACAUCAGGACAGCUUCACUGCCUGCAGGGGUGACUGAGAUCCUAAGUCCAGAGCUUUGCGGAGUUGCCACUCCGGAGAGUAAACCUGGCAAUGGUUCGGCCAGCAGCAGUGUGAAUCACACUUGCAAGACAGAUCGAAACCUGAGCCCGGAAGGCGAGGGAAUGAUCCAGCAUGACAGGGUGCAUGACCAGGAGAUGGCCAAUCCUCCAGGCCACGGAGAUUCAGACGGAAAGAUUCCAGAGACCCAUAGGUUAGGAUGCUUGGAGCUUGCAAUGCAGGGGCUCUCAGCACCAGCCAGAUGCAGGUGCCAACAAAGUACCCAGCCGGACCCUGGAGCUCUGUGUCCUCUCUACCCCAAGCUUCAGUGAGGACCUGACGUCUCCAAGCGUGCCAAUCUUCACUUCGUGUUGGUCUUCAAAGUCAUUAAGAUUUCUCUUGGAAA